UCCAACACUUGGAGAGGGUGUUCCUCAGAUCAUUCGUAGCCACACAAAAUCAUCUGACCUCUACAAAAAAAUCUAUAUGAAGACUGACGCAGAUCAAAGACUUGGAGGUGCUAGCUUGCAAGCAACUUUGACAACUGGUUUCUUUCUUUUUCUUCAAGCAACUUGGACACUCCAAAGCAAAAGAGGAUCUAGAUGAGGAAGAAAGGAGGAGG
rnacentral:lncRNA from 1 species